AUAAAAGCUUAGUUGAGUUGAGUUCGUUUUUUCUUCAUCAAACCCCAGAAUCUUCCCUGCAACCCUAAUUAGCCCUAUAUUAAUCAGCAUCAAAUUUCCCUACAAUAUUGAAAAAUUCUCAUUGCAAAAAUCACCUGGAAUUUCUUAUGUUACUUGGCCCUCGAUGAUAUUUUUGAAAAUCUCAAAACCACAAAAUGCAUAUUUCAGAUUGACCCUUAUUUGGCAUCUAUCACAUCCUUGAUAUCUCCUUCUUUGACCCUUUUUUUUGCUUCCUUCCUAUAGCAGUUUUGAGGGUGUAUUAUACCCUUGUUUUCUGUCUUAUGUCAUUGUGGCACAUAACACAUUUAAUAAUAAUGCAUCAUGCCAUGAAUCUAGCAAAACUAUGCUGGAUGAGAGAAGAUGUGGUUUUGUAGCAUUUCAUUUGAAAACAUGGGAGAUUAAAGACCUCCUUGUAUGUCAUGGAAAGGAAAUUUUCUUUGUUAUGUUCUGGGACUACUUUUUUCUGAAAUUCUGUUCUUGCAAACAAGAAAAUUCUGGUGUCUAGGUCAAUCUAUGAGAAUGGUCUAUCCUUAAACUUGGAAUUCAUAGUGAAAAUUUGAAACUUUGACCAAGAUGACUGUUCAAAAAUAAAAAUUGGUCAUGCAUUGUUAUUUAUAAUGAUAUCCUCGUAUCCUCUUUUUUCUUUUUUGGGACAUCAAACACAAGCAUUGUUAUUUGGUGUGGUGAACCUCAAAUAGACUGAUUUGCAUUUCAUUUUUAAAACUGAACUGGGUUGAAAUUGGCUUAUUUACUUGGG
rnacentral:misc_RNA from 1 species